AAUACUAGACCAGGCUGCCCAGGUCCCCAUCCAACCCGGCCUUUCAAAUGACCUAUUGUAUUCUUCAGGCCUUGAGUUUUAACUUUCUAUCUGUUGUGCUUUUGUGUACGUCAAUUUUUUCUAUCAAAUAACCAAAGCCAAAAAUCAUGGACGUAGAAGCCAAUAAAGAUACUGCGAUUGACUGUUCAGAGCCAGAAGACAGUGGGGCAUUUACCAGGGGUGUUUUUCUCUAGUUGAGUUCUUUGCUCCACGUUAGCUGAUUAUUCUGUGAGCAUUCAAAUACUCCCUGUUUCUAGUAAGGCAGUAACCAUCAUUUUUUUCUUUGGCAAUGGAGUUGCAACGCAAUCUUGCCCCAUCACAAAAAAGUUAUGAAGAGUUAGCAGUAAAUACUUAAGUAAAUACUAAAUGAAGAGUUAGCAGUUAAUACCUACUCCUCAGGUCUGCAAAACAACACACACAGUCUGGGUAUUUCUGAAGGCUCAAAUUCUCCCUUUUCCAGUGGGCCCGUAUCAUUACAACUAGCGUUUUGGAAAUUGCUUUUUGUUAUCUUUACCUCUAAAAGACAGAUCUAUUUAGUUUAAAGGACUGUUUUCAUGCAGACGUUUUUGUUUAGGUUAACCAUUUCUUCCUUUAAGCCACAAAUCCAAAGCCCAGUAGCAUCAGUUCACCUCUUCUUUCCAAAUCAAAACAGAAUUUCAUGUCUUUUCAUUGCUAGAAGAAUGUGAGUUAGAUUAAUUAUUCUCUGGAACGUUAUGCAGGAGAUUUUUCAGUGCCUUUGGUCAAUCUUCCUUUCUUCUCUUUAUUGCUUAACAUAGUUCAUGUACUUCAAUUUUCCCUUCUUCACAGCGGAGGAAUGAAAAAGCCCUGGCGAUGCUGCACAGCUACAAUCCCUAAAGUUCCUCGUAGUAAAACACAAACAGAUGAGUGACUGCUGUGUGAAAUAAAUGCAAAAUACUGGUCUCUGUUAGAGCUUUGUGGGACAAUUUGAAGCUUCAAGAAGAAUGUUUUUCAAAAGCAAAAGAAUGAAAGUGCUGAUAAAAAUUGCCUCAGUGCUCUGUCAGUAUGCUGAUGCCUCGUGUGACUCAUGGCAGCUGCAGAACAGGGUUCUGAUUUCAUCUUUAUAUUAGGCUUUCUUGUAUUCCUAAUUACAAGCACAUAAAGAAACUUGG
ensembl:lncRNA